CAAAAUUUUAGUCAGUAUGACAUUUGAAAAGUAAUCAAUGAAAGGUCUACAAAAAGUAUAUCUGAGUUAAUAUUUUGUUUCUGUUGAAUUGCUGCUAAAAUGCAGUAAUUUUAAUCUAGAAAUAGUAAGAUAUCACUUUGGUUUAGACAACUUGGGAGUCAGUAGGCGCACAGCAAAUAAAUGGCUAAGAAGAAUCCGCAGACUUCAGAGGCAAAAUGCGCUGUCCGAUACCCAAGCAUCGAAACCACUAGCCUUCAUUUCCACAGUGAAUGGUUAUCAUCAAUUUCGAGCUACUCCACCGUCAGGAAUCAACUUUCCCAUGACUUGUGUACCCGAGCCAAAUAAUCUGUAUGACCAGUUUGCUUGCCUUGUGAAGGGACCAAGAAGAGGUGAAACUGAAGCCAGAUUUGAAGAAUAUUGUGAUGUUACUUUCGGCCGAGUUCCCAAGAAGAUUUGCAAUGUGAUUAGUGUUGGUAUGAGGACACACCAUUCUCUCCUC